GCCAGCAGCCGCGGGAACACCGGCGGCCCGAGUGGUGAUCGUGAUUAUUGGGUCUAAAGGGUCCGUAGCCGGUUUGGUCAGUCCUCCGGGAAAUCUGAUAGCUCAACUAUUAGGCUUUCGGGGGAUACUGCCAGACUUGGAACCGGGAGAGGUAAGAGGUACUACAGGGGUAGGAGUGAAAUCUUGUAAUCCCUGUGGGACCACCUGUGGCGAAGGCGUCUUACCAGAACGGGUUCGACGGUGAGGGACGAAAGCUGGGGGCACGAACCGGAUUAGAUACCCGGGUAGUCCCAGCCGUAAACGAUGCUCGCUAGGUGUCAGGCAUGGCGCGACCGUGUCUGGUGCCGCAGGGAAGCCGUGAAGCGAGCCACCUGGGAAGUACGGCCGCAAGGCUGAAACUUAAAGGAAUUGGCGGGGGAGCACAACAACGGGUGGGAAGCCUGCGGUUUAAUUGGACUCAACGCCGGACAACUCACCGGGGGCGACAGCAAUAUGUAGGCCAAGCUGAAGACUUUGCCUGAAUCGCUGAGGGGAGGUGCAUGG
rnacentral:rRNA from 1 species